rnacentral:lncRNA from 1 species
UAUGAAAUCUAUUAAUUAUAAAAGUUCAAUAGAAGUGUAAAGCACAAUGAAUGAGGCAUAUACCAUUAAACAGGGCUAGCACAUGCAACUUAACACAUAAAGCAAACCCAUGGCCACAAAAAUUCUGCCAGCUGGACCUCCCAGUUACACAGACACACGAAAUGAUCAACCUCACUAUAAUCUCUUCGGUUUCUUCCUCACAGUAACGACCGGACAUCACCCGUGACCCGUCCAAACCCUCGUUUGCCCACAUCCACAGCCGCCCUGCUCAUAUCCAAACCCUCAACUCCAAAUGCAACAUAUAUGAACACAGUACCAAAUUGUAACACAUAGACGAUAUAGCAUAGCAUAGCGUCGGACAUACACAAAAGAUAGAUAGUUCGAGCAAUCUGCAACAAAUAUACGACUAAAAGCAUACUAGCUAAGUUCACCACUUGCUUGACAGGUCCUGGUUCGAGCGAUCUAUGACAAACAGAUCGCACAAAACUACCGUAGAUACCAUGGCCGGGUGACAUGGGUUUGACUGCCAUCGUCGGGCACACCAGAGUUGGAUUGCUGAGCAGGCUGCAUGGGGUGCCCGUAAAUCAGGGGUCGUGCACGCACAGGCAUGGCAGUAUGCUGGUGCUGAGUGUAUGCCAGUGGGCUUUGUGAAUUCCGUGCCAUGUGAUACUGACGCAUGGAAUGGUGCUGCAGCUGCUGAUGAUACUGUUGAUAAGGGUGGUGUGGUUGUUGAACAAUCCGCUCCUGCUGGAGAUUACCUUCAGAAUAUGGCUUGUCAUACUUGCGAAUAAUUUCUUCUAUCGGGUCAGAAGUGUGCACUGGAUGCUGAUGGCUCCUGUAGGACUGUGUCCUUGUCACAUCGGCAGCUGAGUUUGAGACGCUAACCAAAUUGUAUUCAGCAGAUAGACCAUCCUGGUGCCUAACAACACCAGAACCAACGCCCGGAGGAAUGUCAGCGGCUAGAACUUCGUGAUGAGAAGCAUUGGAAGAGCGAGAUGAUGGCUUGGAAAUCAUGGGUGAACUGCUGGAAAUCGUAGCCUGCCUCUUGGAGCAAUCUUGCCUGCUGGGUACCCUAGAUGAGACAUGGGGCCUUUGCCACACGACGACUCCGAUGAUAGAUGUUCUAGACAUGGUUAAACUAUGCAAGUGCUCCUUUGGCAGGUGAUCAGCAAGUAUCUGACCUGCCUUCCCUUGAGGAGGACAUAGGUACAACGUGAUCCCUUGAGCUGGCUUCACUAGGCCUACUGUCUCAUUGGCGGUAUACGAGUCAAUAGUCUGCAUAAGAAUAAUAGAUGGUUAGCAAAUCAGGAGCUCGACCGGUUGCCGUGCUAAGCUUUGACUCAAGGGCAAAUACUAGAGAACAGUGUUUUUAGGAUAGUAGGGAGGAGGAACCUUUAAGAGAUGAUGUCGACCACUCUCAAGAGAGCCCUCCUUCCAACGUAACUCAGUUACCUGUAAAACAAGUGACAGAUACUUAAUGUAAGAAAACAAUAUUUUCUGGACCAAAAAUCAAGAAAGCCAGAAAGGCACGACAUAGGCACAGAUUAUUCAAAAUAUUCAACAUCUGAUUUCAGUACAAUGUGCACCUAGCAACCUACUAAAAGUCUAGAUAGUAGUUUUACUCCCUCCGAUCCAUCUUAAAUGUCGCUGAUUUAGUAGUACUACUUUAUACUAAAUCAGUGACACUUAAUAUGGAUCGGAGGGAGUAUUCAAAUUCACACAAAAAUUUGGAUGUCCAUACAAGCAUAAUGAUUCCAGUUCCAUAAUGCAGUACAUAUGGCAACACAAUUCAUAAACCACAACUGGGCCACCAGUCAGCUGAUCCCUUCCUAACCAUCCCUAUCUUCUCCAUGCAAUGGCAGACUAGGAUCAUAACCUGGAAAUGCAGCGAUAAACUCCAGCAAGUGGCAGCACAAGGAAGGUAUCUUGGCAGCUUGAAUGCCAAGAGGCAGGACCUCAUAACGAGAGAGAGGCGAUGAGACAAGGCUGAAGCAUAGCGAUGGCAAGGCUUGGAAGAAUGAUUAGGAGGGCGAGCAACAAGGUAUAGGCGACAACUGUAUUGCAGCAAGGGGGUUGAACGAUGAAGGAAUUACAUGUAGGAAGGUGGUACCAGCUUCAAGGGUUUCGGGCAUGGGGCCUUCACUACACAACGAGAUGGGUAUUAUAUAAAAGUACAACAGGGAAAUACCCAAGUUUGCUUAUCAUUGUGCUAUAAGCGAGUUAAUAUUUACAGAAAAUUAGAUACCUGCAUUAUCGUGUUAUUGUUCCGUAAUAAAGCAAUGUGAAUUAUCUGUCCUUGUCUCCCUAAGCCCUAAGCCAUCUCUCUAAUAGAGUCUCUCCUCAUCCGUUACAAGGCAUGCCGCCCAGCCAUCCUAUACACGACAUUUGCCUGGUCAUAUUCCCGAGGGGUAUUGCUGAGAGGAUUACCAGGUCAGCUCGACUGGGUGAAGAUGAGAGAAUAUUGAUAUGGGAGAUGACUUGUGGAGACCACAGGAGAUAAUUGUUAUCACUUCAUUAUGAAUUUAUGAUACAAAGCUUAGCUUGUAUAACUGGCUAUGAUAAAGUAAUUUGGAAAAAAGCAAGCUUAUGACUCAGAGUCUAAGGUAGUAAAGUCUAAUCUAUACAUAAAAAGAACAAACUCUAUCUCUAAGAAAUGGCAUAGUCUGUCUAUAAGAAAUUGACCACAUGAUAAUAACUAAAGUCGUUGGGCAUUUGUCGCUGUCCACGAACCUAACAAAAACGAUACAGUUUCAAGAAGUGGUGACAAAAUAAGGAGGGUCUGUUUUGCCGUGGCAUUUCAGCUAUUCAGUAAAUUGCCAGUAGCACGGGCUUACAUCAGGUGGAAUCUCUGGGAUUUUAGUAUUUUUUUGAUUUAGUGCUUAUGUAGCUAUGAUUUAAUCACAACAAAGCAAUCUUAAGAGCACAUGUUUCCACUGGGUUCUUAUGAUCAAUUAUUAUCCUGUCAAAGUGAUAGACAUAAUUGUCUGCAAGGAAACAAGUGCAAGGAUGUGUAUAUGUCAGUAAUAGAAAGCAUAUAGUCAAGUUGCCAAUUUUAAUAAGCAACGGAUGCACUAAACUAGAAUAGUAUAUAUAAAACCACACAGAAAUAAUAGUUACCAUUAUAGUACGGCUCCUGGAUUUGGGAAGCUCUAUAAUAAAUUCUUUAAGAGCACUAAGCCUCACUCGUCCCUCGAUCCUAAGAAAGCGGUGCCACUGACGUGUAGAUGGUUUUUCACCGCUGCAAAAGAGAAACAACGUAACAAUGAAUUAAGAAUGCUGCCAAAACUUUGUGUGAUGGUCUAUGUAUGUAAUGAACUGGUGUGUUGUUUUUUAAAAAUAAAUAUAGAAAUUACAAAUGGAAGUACGUCUUGUAGUUAAUCGUGGAUCUCUCUAACAAAAGUUAAUUGCAUACAAUUUUUAUAAGUAAGGUUAAUGAAACAAACCUUUUAAAGAUAAGAACAAUAUUUGUGCGCGAAGACUCAUGCUGAAUCGUUGCCUCCCAUAUACUGUAAUGCGUCAAUGCAGCAUCAGGAGUUAUACUACACUGCAUAGCAGAUUCAGGAGUCAAGCCAUUAACAGUACGUGAUUCUUCAGCAUCCACCAUUUGAGGGGAGGAUUUGGCUAACACAUCUCCCUUUGGUUCUUCAACUGGAUCCAGAACUGAAGCUGAUUUGUUUAUGGGUGAUUCUAACUUGGAUUCACAAUAACCUCGUGGAGAUGGCACAUCCUCAGAAUGAAUUUGGAGUUCUGAUACAGCAGCCAUGUUCAUAGUUUUGGGGAAAUUUGCUGAGUUCACUUUGUCUACUUUGUUACUAUUACGAUCAUCUUGCAGAAGGGCACCAAUGGGCUGACCUGUAGAAUGUGGUUCUGGAUUAAUAUUCUGCGCCAUAGAUGAGGCAUGGGACGUUCGCCACACGACGACUCCAAUGAUAGAUGUUCCAAGCACGGUUAAACUACCCAAGUGUUCCUUUGGCAGGUGGUCAGCAAGUAUCUGAGCUGCCUUCCCUUGAGAAGGACAUAGGUACAAUGUGAUCCCUUGAGCUGGCUUC